rnacentral:misc_RNA from 1 species
AAAAGGAAAAAAAAAAAAAGAAACUACUUGGAAAAGGAAAAGAGAGGUAGCCUAACUAGAGGAAGGUUAGAUAUGCAAGAGAGAUCUAUCUUUCAGAUCAUGAUUGCCUUUGGUUUCAGACCAUCAAAAAUCAAGCAAUCAAUUAAAAAGUUUCUCUUUUCUUCUUUUAUUUAUUUAUUUUUGGGUUCAAGCAACCUCUCAAAAAGUUUGCACUAAUGAUAAGAAAAGAACCUUUGCUAAAAAGCCAUGAUUGGCUCUAGAAGUUAACAGAAAUAAAGUUGAUAAAAUCAUUAGAGAAGAAAAAGUCAAAAAGCAAAACCCGCCGAAGAAAUUUUGAUCAUGAUUAUUGAUCUCCAACUCUAAAUAUAUUCUUCAUAAUUAUUGUAGUUCCAAGCAAAAUCUAUUCUACUUUUCUUCAAGCCAUAAUUCCCUUGAAGAACAAUACAGGAAAACGGUGUAGAGAGAAAAUUUUGCGAAAGUUCAAUUAGAUCUUUAUAUAUAUGUGCGUGUGUCAAUAACUUGCUGAAAGUUGAAACUAACCUCUGCAUGAAGCUUCUGGUUCUG